GAGGGUGUGGCUCCAGUGGUAGAGUACCUGCUUAGCAAGCAUGAGACCCUGAGUUCAAACCUCAGUACCACCA
rfam:Dipodomys ordii contig_64270, whole genome shotgun sequence.